AGAGCAUAUACGCCAAUGACUAGAACCGCCCAAUCCUACGGAGCACCAGUGGGAAUUGGACCAUUGGGCACCUGAUCCAGGCAUGCGCUUCCGAAGAAGCUUCGGGUGUAAACCGCUUUAGCGGGAGAAAGGCACCCUUAAUACGGGGUGUUCUGACGGUACUGGCGGAAUAAGCACGGCUAACUACGUGCCAGCAGCCGCGGUAAUACGUAGGGUGCGAGCGUAAUCGGAAUUACUGGGCGUAAAGCGUGCGCAGGCGGUUCGUUAAGUUCGAUGUGAAAGCCCCGGGCUCAACCUGGGAACUGCAUUGGAAACUGGCGAGCUUGAGUGUGGCAGAGGGGGGUGGAAUUCCGCGUGUAGCAGUGAAAUGCGUAGAGAUGCGGAGGAACACCGAUGGCGAAGGCAGCCCCCUGGGCCAACACUGACGCUCAGGCACGAAAGCGUGGGGAGCAAACAGGAUUAGAUACCCUGGUAGUCCACGCCCUAAACGAUGCUCACUAGGUGUUGGGGAAGCGAUUCCUUGGUACCGUAGCUAACGCGUGAAGUGAGCCGCCUGGGGAGUACGGCCGCAAGGUUAAAACUCAAAGGAAUUGACGGGGACCCGCACAAGCGGUGGAUGAUGUGGAUUAAUUCGAUGCAACGCGAAAAACCUUACCCACCU
rnacentral:rRNA from 1 species